GUUGAGGGGAAUGUCAUCUGGUUCGAGAUCAUCCAUGCAAGUAGUCUCAGACAAUACACUUCUGGAUGAUUUCGGACCAGGCUUCAUUCCCCUCAGC
rnacentral:pre_miRNA from 2 species